rnacentral:rRNA from 1 species
GACGAACGCUGGCGGCGUGCUUAACACAUGCAAGUCGAACGGUAAGGCCCUUCGGGGUACACGAGUGGCGAACGGGUGAGUAACACGUGGGUGAUCUGCCCUGCACUUCGGGAUAAGCCUGGGAAACUGGGGCGAAUACCGGAUAGGACCACUGCCUGCAUGGGUGGGGGUGGAAAGCUUUUGCGGUGUGGGAUGGGCCCGCGGCCUAGCAGCUUGUUGGUGGGGUGAUGGCCUACCAAGGCGACGACGGGUAGCCGGCCCUGAGAGGGUGACCGGCCACACUGGGACUGAGAUACGGCCCAGACUACUACGGGAGGCAGCAGUGGGGAAUAUUGCACAAUGGGCGCAAGCCUGAUGCAGCGACUCCGCGUGAGGGAUGACGGCCUUCAGGUUGUAAACCUCUUUCAGCACCGCCGAAGCGCAAGUGACGGUAGGUGCAGAAGAAGGACCGGCCAACUACGUGCCAGCAGCCGCCGUAA